GAUGAAGAACGCAGCGAAAUGCGAUACUUGGUGUGAAUUGCAGAAUCCCGUGAACCAUCGAGUCUUUGAACGCAAGUUGCGCCCGAAGCCAUUAGGCCGAGGGCACGCCUGCCUGGGCGUCACACGUCGUUGCCCCCCCCAUCUACUCCUUCGGGAUUGCGGGGGGCGGAUGAUGGCCUCCCGUGCGCCUCGCCGCGCGGUUGGCAUAAAUGCCAAGUCCUCGGCGACGCACGCCACGACAAUCGGUGGUUGCGAAACCUCGGUUGCCCGUCGUGUGCGGUCGUCGCGCAUCGAGGGCUCGAAAAAAUUGCCGAGUUCCGGCUCGGCUUUCAACGCGUCCCCAGGUCAGGCGGGGUUACCCGCUGAAUUUAAGCAUAUCAAUAAGCGGAGGA
rnacentral:misc_RNA from 1 species